AUCCUCAGGGAUAGACGUCUGCCUCUCACCUGGUCUGCUCUCCACCGUACUGGCCUGAAGGACUUCCAACUGAGUUUUCCUGACGGCAGAAAUCCCUGUGUUGAAGAGACCGGGCUGGCGCAGCCUCUGCCCGUUGCCCUGCGGCAGACGUCGCUCGCCAACUGCCCCUC